rnacentral:rRNA from 1 species
AACGUAGGAGGCAAGCGUUAUCCGGAUUCAUUGGGCGUAAAGCGCGUGCAGGCGGUGCUCUAAGUUGGACGUGAAAGCUCUCGGCCUAACUGAGAGAGGCCGUUCAAUACUGGAGCACUUGAGGGCGGAAGAGGGAAGUGGAAUUCCCGGUGUAGCGGUGGAAUGCGUAGAUAUCGGGAGGAACACCAGUGGCGAAGGCGGCCUCCUGGGCUGUUACUGACGCUGAGCCCGAAAGCAUGGGGAGCAAACAGGAUUAGAUACCCGUGUA